ACUGUUAAAGGGGCGGGCUGCUGUGAAGGUCAAAGUUAUGGGGAUCGGCUGUUGUGGAAGUCCCAUUUUAAAGUGGCAGGGCACUGUGGGGGGUCAGUAUUAAGGGGUAGGGAACUGUGGAGUUUGCUGUUAAAGGGACGGGGUGCUGUAGAGGUCACUGUUAUGGGGGAUACUUUCAAUAUCUUUUAACGACACACAAAAACAUUAAAUUAAAUUGAUGAAAUAUACCCGUAGCCUUUUUAUGCGUA